rnacentral:rRNA from 1 species
UUUGGCGCUCUUUGUCAAAGCCUGAUCUCGUCAGAUUUCAGAAAAUAAGCAAGGCUAGGCCUGUUUAGUAAUUGGAUGGGAGACCACUGAUAAUUCCAGGUGCCACAG